GACGAACGCUGGCGGCGUGCUUAACACAUGCAAGUCGAACGGAAAGGCCCUGCUUUUGUGGGGUGCUCGAGUGGCGAACGGGUGAGUAACACGUGAGUAACCUGCCCUUGACUUUGGGAUAACUUCAGGAAACUGGGGCUAAUACCGGAUAGGAGCUCCUGCUGCAUGGUGGGGGUUGGAAAGUUUCGGCGGUUGGGGAUGGACUCGCGGCUUAUCAGCUUGUUGGUGGGGUAGUGGCUUACCAAGGCUUUGACGGGUAGCCGGCCUGAGAGGGUGACCGGCCACAUUGGGACUGAGAUACGGCCCAGACUCCUACGGGAGGCAGCAGUGGGGAAUAUUGCACAAUGGGCGGAAGCCUGAUGCAGCAACGCCGCGUGCGGGAUGACGGCCUUCGGGUUGUAAACCGCUUUCGCCUGUGACGAAGCGUGAGUGACGGUAAUGGGUAAAGAAGCACCGGCUAACUACGUGCCAGCAGCCGCGGUGAUACGUAGGGUGCGAGCGCUGUCCGGAUUUAUUGGGCGUAAAGGGCUCGUAGGUGGUUGAUCGCGUCGGAAGUGUAAUCUUGGGGCUUAACCCUGAGCGUGCUUUCGAUACGGGUUGACUUGAGGAAGGGGGGGGAGAAUGGAAUUCCAGGUGGAGCGGUGGAAUGCCCACAUAUCACGAAGAACACCAUGGCGAAAGCGGUUCUCUAGGCCUUUCCUGACGCUGAGGAGCGAAAGCGUGGGGAGCGAACAGGCUUAGAUACCCUGGUAGUCCACGCUGUAAACGGUGGGUACUAGGUGUGGGGUCCAUUCCACGGGUUCCGUGCCGUAGCUAACGCUUUAAGUACCCCGCCUGGGGAGUACGGCCGCAAGGCUAAAACUCAAAGGAAUUGACGGGGCCCCGCACAAGCGGCGGAGCAUGCGGAUUAAUUCGAUGCAACGCGUAGAACCUUACCUGGGUUUGACAUGGAUCGGGAGUGCUCAGAGAUGGGUGUGCCUCUUUUGGGGUCGGUUCACAGGUGGUGCAUGGCUGUCGUCAGCUCGUGUCGUGAGAUGUUGGGUUAAGUCCCGCAACGAGCGCAACCCUUGUUCACUGUUGCCAGCACGUUAUGGUGGGGACUCAGUGGAGACCGCCGGGGUCAACUCGGAGGAAGGUGGGGAUGACGUCAAGUCAUCAUGCCCCUUAUGUCCAGGGCUUCACGCAUGCUACAAUGGCUGGUACAGAGAGUGGCGAGCCUGUAAGGGUGAGCGAAUCUCGGAAAGCCGGUCUCAGUUCGGAUUGGGGUCUGCAACUCGACCUCAUGAAGUCGGAGUCGCUAGUAAUCGCAGAUCAGCAACGCUGCGGUGAAUACGUUCCCGGG
rnacentral:rRNA from 1 species